CAGAAGGAAUGCCCCCCCCCCCCCUCGACUCUGCUGAGGUUCUGCUGCGGAACGAUUGCGUUGGCGUCGCUGUUGCAACGGUCGCUGCUGUCGCUGCUGCUGUUGCUGCUGCUGCUGCUGCCUGUCGGCGCUAAUUACUUUGCUCAGAAAGACUCUGCCGCUCUUAGCUGGCUUCGGCAUUGGCAGUCUUCCAGCUGACGGAUUCCUGCUGGGAAAAAGGUACAAGCGCCUCCAGAAUCCGGAAUAAACGACAUAUCCAGCAGAAAAAAAAAUCAUACAUUUAAAUCUUCUGGCAUCUUCUGCACAAGACAUCAGGACGCAGACACACUCAAGUGGACACCCAAUCUUGGUGGAAGACACCUCGCGGAGGAGAAGAUAUAGGAAGAGGAGGAAGCAAUACGAGACGCACGUGGCACACACUGCCGCUGAGACGACGUCACAAUGGAUAAGGACAAGCGUGACUUCGGAUCUCAUGCCGCCAAGAACAUGCAGGAGCUGUUCGUCAACUUCGCGCUCAUCCUCAUCUGCCUGCUGCUCAUGUACAUCAUCGUGAAGCUCAUGUAGCCAGCCGCCUGCCUCUCUCUCUGUCUCUCUUCUCGUUGUAUUGUUGGCCACGUGGUCGUCGUUUGUCGUCGUCGUCACAGCUGUCAUUGUGACGUUUAACUUUCAUAUUCGGAAGCCACGUGCUUCUCUGAGGUUAAACACACGGCAGCAACGACAGCAGAUUUGAGACUGUCUGCGGAAAUGUGUUCACACUUUGGUAAGCACGUGAUUGUGGCUGCUUGGAUUAGAAUGCUGAUGAGCCGUUACAUCUGGAGUCCUGGUCUGAGUGGCUCUGUCGCGCUCUCUCUGUUUCCUUCUUAGGGGGUUCAUAUUGGCCACGUUAAGAUUACUAAGCUAGCACUGCCAGAGGCUCUUAACUCAAGCCCUGCAUCUGGUGUCUUUAUGAAGAGAUUCAUAAUAGCUGUGCCAGGGUAAUGAACCCAGUAUCUCUCACCUGAUGGGUGCAAGCCAUUGGUCUGGCUGUCUCGCAAGAUGCUCGAAAUGUAUGUGUUAUGAUUCUAGAUUUGAAGCUUUCGUGACUGCAAGGAUUCAUAUUCUUAGGUUGUUUCGGUAAAGUCACGUAGAUAAAAAUAAAAUGAUAAAAGUAAAAUAAAAAUAAAAAUCACGACGUUUCGGAAGCAACAAAAGCUUCCGUCUUCAGGUGGAACCGUCACAGCGCGAUAGCUGUAUCAAGUGAGAGAGAUUCCAAGAAAACAGUCCUUGUACAUAUACUGGUUAUUUUACUUUUAUUAAUUUUAUUAAUUUUAAAUUUUACGUGACUUUACCGAAAAAACCUAAGAAUAUGUGUUAUCGGUUUAGUGUUCAGCUGACAUCUAUUGAGGCGCUGUGUUGAAGCCAUAGGUCUGGAUCUCUCUCUCCAUAGGUUCAUAACAGCUCUGUCAGAGCACGUCUGGGAUCCGUGGAUCACGUGUCCUGAACUUGGUUGAUAAUGGCCGUGUCAACAUCACCAGGCCACCAUCUCUCAAGUGAAGGCCAGGGUCUGGGGGCUAUUAAUUGCCGUGUUCGAUGCACUAAGCCAGUACCACAGAUAACCUCGGUUUGAAUCCGGAUUCAGUCACCUAAAAUUAAAUUGAUUAACUACGCAGCCAAUUUGCCUCCUUCCCAACAUAAACACAAAUAGUAUUUUGUUACAAGUCUCAUUGGCCACACAGCCUCAUGGGAGUGAUUUGUGUGUUUUUUUCCAGCAAGAUAGGUUUAACACAAAGCAAAAUCUGGACAGGAUUUGACAUUCAGUUUCUCAUCAGCAAUCGGCAGAGUCAGGCUCGUCUGAAUCAAUGCUGGCGAACUGUCAGAUGUUCGAGGGAAGGACCUUCUAUUUUAGAUAUGGGUCCUAGUUCCACGCCAACAUUAUAUAACACGCAGUAAUAACCGUUUCAGUUUUAAAUAAUGCGAAUUGAAUCUCAACGAUGUACAAUAAUAACAUGCAACAAAAAUCACAAGAAGCGCUUCAUUCUAUUUACGAAACAUUUUAGUAAGUAAAUGAAACCCCUCGUGAAAUGACAACAAUUCAUAAAGCGGCCAAGAAACGGUAUUUAAGCUGAAGGUAUAAACAAAACAAAGGUUAUCACAACAAAGGAAUCUAAAAUUGUGGUGUGGUACAAAGGGCUCCCGCUUAGUAUCCUGAACGCCAGCCACAGAGAUUAGUGCACUGCGGUGACAUCCCAGAGUGCACGAGGCAACAUCGUGAGCGUGCAUCACAUCACUUGUGACGGCUCAGGCCAUUGUAUUCAGUCAUGCGAUAAGGGGCCGUCCAUGAAUGACGUCACGCACCUAGGGGGGGUCAGACAUUUGUGACGAUGUGUGACGAGGGGGAUGGGGGGGUUGAGAAAUGUGACGUCACGUAAAAAUGCGCAACUUUUAAUAAAUAUAGACAACACGUUCUACUUAGUUAAAUUGACUUUUUGAUGUUUUCUCCUACAACAUCAGAGUGCAGAGCCACAUUAAAUACGCACUACAAUGACAAUAGUUGAAAGUGAUUUGAAGCAUGUUCUAUUUUUUUGGGGGGGGGGGGGGGCAGAGCUUUGUGACGUCAUAUUUGAGGGGGGGUCUGACUUUUUGUGACGCCGUGUGACGAAGGGGGGAGGGGGUCAAAAAUCGUCAAACCUUACUAAUUUGCUGUGGCGGGUGGUGGCGGGUUUAACGACACAUUUAUUCUGACGCCAUCUAGCCCAAAUAAAACCGAUAUUAUGGAGCAAUACCCCUGCACACAUGGUUAUGGCUCAACAAGUUUAACAUUAAGUAGGCUUUCGCGACCGAUAUCGUCAAUAAUAGAGGGUUUCUUGGGUUCGAUCGCAUGAAUAUUAUUGCAUCGUUAAAGCCGCCACUACCCCCGACACAGCCAAUUAGUAAGGUUUGUCACGUGAACGAAAACACGUCAAUUCGUUACGAGUACAGCACACCGGCUGUGAUGGAGAGUACACCCACAACAUUUACAAUUCGUGGACGAUGUUUCGCCAGUAAUCACUCCGCUGCCUCCUCCCCGCCAGACGAGAGAAUAUCCCGUGAUGAUCUACUCGUCAAAAGGAAACCGCUUCCAAAACACCCAAAAAGUCAAAGUGAUUUUCUGCUCGCAAAACGAGCCACACGGAGGCCAUUCAUUGGUGGUCAUCUGCUUACAGCCCUGAGCCAGUUGGUGGAAAUUACCCAUUCCUAUGGCGGGGACGAGUAUGUACGUGGAACUUCUUUCGUACCAUACGUAGCCAACCGUGCUAAUCGUAGGUGCGGAGUCUCUCCAUAGAACAACCACUGUUGAUUCCCCCACGAAGCAGUACCUAUUUUACCGACCCCCAGAGGGAUGAUGGGCCGAGUUCAACGCCGCACCAGCCAGUAUUUGAAGCGGCAAGCUUCCGCUCGCACCUUUCCAAAAAUAACUGUCCUUGAUAAUAACUCAUGUCACUGCCAAACACGUGUCCCGGUUUAGUUUUUAUAUGAGUGCCCUAAUGCCUGUUGCGUGGGGUUUCUGGCCAGGUAUGUGGCUACAAGUGAGACUGAUUACAGUUGCACUCGAUUGUCCGUGAAAAACAAUGUCCAGGCGGUGGAAUAACCGUGUUUGCGCGAAAAGAAAACGAAAUAAAAGUCUUUAGUGGGCACCAA